UACGUAGGGACCAAGCGUUGUUCGGAUUUACUGGGCGUAAAGCGCGCGUAGGCGGCUUUGCAAGUCGGGUGUGAAAUCCCCAGGCUUAACCUGGGAACUGCAUUCGAGACUGCAUUGCUAGAGUAUGGGAGAGGGAAGUGGAAUUUCCGGUGUAGCGGUGAAAUGCGUAGAUAUCGGAAGGAACAUCAGUGGCGAAAGCGACUUCCUGGACCAAUACUGACGCUCAUGUGCGAAAGCGUGGGGAGCAAACAGGG
rnacentral:rRNA from 1 species